CCUACGGGAGGCAGCAGUAGGGAAUUUUCGUCAAUGGGCGCAAGCCUGAACGCGCGAUGCCGCGUGAGUGAAGAAGGCCUUCGGGUCGUAAAGCUCUGUUGCGGGGGAAAAAAGGCAGCAUCAGGAAAUGGGUGCUGGCUGAUGGUGCCCCGCCAGAAAGUCACGGCUAACUACGUGCCAGCAGCAGCGGUAAUACGUAGGUGGCGAGCGUUAUCCGGAAGGAUUGGGCGUAAAGGGUGCGCAGGCGGUCCUGCAAGUCUGGAGUGAAACGCAUGAGCUCAACACAUGCAUGGCUUUGGAAACUGGAGGACUGGAGAGCAGGAGAGGGCGGUGGAACUCCAUGUGUAGCGGUAAAAUGCGUAGAUAUAUGGAAGAACACCAGUGGCGAAGGCGGCCGCCUGGCCUGUUGCUGACGCUGAGGCACGAAAGCGUGGGGAGCAAAUAGGAUUAGAUACCCUAGUAGUC
rnacentral:rRNA from 1 species